rnacentral:lncRNA from 1 species
AGAAGCUCUAAGAUCAAACUGUUAGAAUGCAAAAGAAAAGAAAUGGUGACAACAUAUAGAUAGGCUUUGCUUGAAUGGAUUUCCUUCUCUCUCCUGAAGUCCUUUUGUCACAUUCAAUGCUGUUGCCUCCUGUAAUACAACUCCCGGAAUGGAAAUGACAUGAUGUCAGAGGUAAUUCCUGCAAAACCAGUUUCAGGUGCCCAAGGUGACCCUUGUAGGACCUGAGAGCUUGAACCACGAUGACAUUGGAGCCUCAUAGGACUUCAGAUGGGAUGAUCCAGCAAGCCAACCCAAAUAGAGCCAAGUUUUAUUCUAUUCCUUCAAAGAUUGUUGGAUCAGCCAGAUUCUGUGAUAAGUGCUGUAAAAAGCUGGAAAAAGGGCAUUCCCCUGCCCUCAAGAAGCUUACAUUCUUAUGAAGAAAAAAACCACAUAAAGGGAAACUUUUCUUCAUGUAAAGGAAAGAUGGUUGAUGUUGGAGAGAAUAAGAAGUCCAAAUGGUGGAAUCAGGUAUGAAGUGGAACAUUUAAGGCCUUUUUUGCAAUAGUGGUCCAGAUAGGCAAUAUUUUCCUUUGUGCAGUUGGUCUUCCAAAUAAAGUAGAUUAUUAGCUGUUUCUUGGAAUUGAC